ensembl:snoRNA SNORD22 Small nucleolar RNA SNORD22
UUUCAGUGAAAAAGCAUUUACACAUUUUACCUCUUCUCUUCCUACAGCCACCUUGACCUGAACUAACUAAACUUGGGGAGAAGAGAAAAGCCUGUUCCAGAAGUAACUAUUUGAAGGAU